rnacentral:rRNA from 1 species
AAGGAUCAUUACUGAUUUGCUUAAUUGCACCACAUGUGUUUUUCUUUGAAACAAACUUGCUUUGGCGGUGGGCCCAGCCUGCCGCCAGAGGUCUAAACUUACAACCAAUUUUUUAUUAACUUGUCACACCAGAUUAUUACUUAAUAGUCAAAACUUUCAACAACGGAUCUCUUGGUUCUCGCAUCGAUGAAGAACGCAGCGAAAUGCGAUACGUAAUAUGAAUUGCAGAUAUUCGUGAAUCAUCGAAUCUUUGAACGCACAUUGCGCCCUCUGGUAUUCCGGAGGGCAUGCCUGUUUGAGCGUCGUUUCUCCCUCAAACCGCUGGGUUUGGUGUUGAGCAAUACGACUUGGGUUUGCUUGAAAGACGGUAGUGGUAAGGCGGGAUCGCUUUGACAAUGGCUUAGGUCUAACCAAAAACAUUGCUUGCGGCGGUAACGUCUACCACGUAUAUCUUCAAACUUUGACCUCAAAUCAGGUAGGACUACCCGCUGAACUUAA